rnacentral:rRNA from 1 species
UACGUAGGGGCAAGCGUUGUCCGGAAUCAUUGGGCGUAAAGCGCGUGUAGGCGGCUCGAUAAGUCUGCUGUGAAAGUUCAGGGCUCAACCCUGAAAUGCCGGUGGAACUGUCGAGCUAGAGUACGGAAGAGGUGAGUGGAAUUCCUGGUGUAGCGGUGAAAUGCGCAGAUAUCAGGAGGAACACCAAUGGCGAAGGCAGCUCACUGGGACGUUACUGACGCUGAGACGCGAAAGCGUGGGGAGCAAACAGG